UUGACCUCGGAUNCAGGUAGGAAUAACCCGCUGAACUUGA
rnacentral:rRNA from 1 species